AGUAGAUUCAGCUUCAGCUUCAGCUGUUGAGGGAGAUAAGUAUCGUUCUUACUUGCAUGGAGAAGGAGAGAAGAACACCAAAUGGAGAUUUGGGGGUCCUCCAAACUAUGAUAUUGUUAACAAACUCUUUGAAGAAGGCAGAACUAAGGUAUGGCCUCCUGGUUCACUAGAAGAGAAAGUGCAGAACCUAGUGAAGACAUGGGAAAUGGAGGUUUUCCACAAGACCUGCUUUGAUGACUAUAAGUCAAUCGAUCCAAAAAAGUAUACUUUCAGCCUAAAUGGAAGGAAACCUAUAACUUUGGAAGAGAAGAGGAAGCUUGGUGGAGGCUACAACACCUUUAUGCAGACCUCCUUGCCGGUGAAGUUCCGGGCCUAUGAUCCUGAAAAGGAAACUGUGGAGUCAGCUCAUGUGGCUUUUACAACAGCAUUCCCUAGGGGGUUUGCUUUGGAGAUUCUCCAAGUUUAUUCAGGGCCACCUGUGAUUGUAUACAAGUUCAGGCACUGGGCAUACAUGGAAGGUCCUUUCAAGGGCUAUGCUCCCACCGGAGAAUUGGUAGAACUCUUUGGGAUGGCUAUUUUUGAGGUGGAUGAACACAUGAAAAUUGUGAAGGUAGAGUUCUUUAUGAACGGUGGAGAACUGCUUGGAAGUCUUAUGAAGGGUGCUUCCUUGGAUGACUCAACCAUAGAUUCAACUUCAAGCUGCCCUUUCUUGAAGGGCACAGGGUAGCUUAAAAACAGAACUUGAGCUAGAGGCAACCUGAAAGAAUGAUGCUUGCCCCAAUA
rnacentral:misc_RNA from 1 species